GCCGACGUCUUUCUUCUUUCUUAACACAUGCAAGUCGAACGGAAAGGCCCUGCUUUUGUGGGGUGCUCGAGUGGCGAACGGGUGAGUAACACGUGAGUAACCUGCCCUUGACUUUGGGAUAACUUCAGGAAACUGGGGCUAAUACCGGAUAGGAGCUCCUGCUGCAUGGUGGGGGUUGGAAAGUUUCGGCGGUUGGGGAUGGACUCGCGGCUUAUCAGCUUGUUGGUGGGGUAGUGGCUUACCAAGGCUUUGACGGGUAGCCGGCCUGAGAGGGUGACCGGCCACAUUGGGACUGAGAUACGGCCCAGACUCCUACGGGAGGCAGCAGUGGGGAAUAUUGCACAAUGGGCGGAAGCCUGAUGCAGCAACGCCGCGUGCGGGAUGACGGCCUUCGGGUUGUAAACCGCUUUCGCCUGUGACGAAGCGUGAGUGACGGUAAUGGGUAAAGAAGCACCGGCUAACUACGUG
rnacentral:rRNA from 1 species